rnacentral:rRNA from 1 species
CAGCAGCCGCGGUAAUUCCAGCUCCAAUAGCGUAUAUUAAAGUUGUUGUGGUUAAAAAGCUCGUAGUUGGAUCUCAACAGCCUUGAAGCGGUUAACUUUGUAGUUUUACUGCUUUAUAGGCUGUGCUUUUGCUGGAGGUUUAGGGGUGCUCUUGAUCGAGUGUCUCUGGAUGCCAGCAGGUUUACUUUGAAAAAAUUAGAGUGCUCAAAGCAGGCUAAAAUGCCUGAAUAUUCGUGCAUGGAAUAAUAGAAUAGGAUGUCGAUCCUAUUUUGUUGGUUUUCGGGACUCGACAUAAUGAUAAAUAGGGACAGUCGGGGGCAUUUGUAUUCAAACGACAGAGGUGAAAUUCUUGGACCGUUUGAAGACAAACUACUGCGAAAGCAUUUGCCAAGAAUGUUUUCAUUAAUCAAGAACGAAAGUUAGAGGUUCGAAGGCGAUUAGAUACCGCCCUAGUUCUAACCAUAAACGAUGCCAGCUAGCGAUCUGCCUGCGUUUUUACUGUAGACUGGGCAGGAAGCUUCCGGGAAACCAAAGCAUUUGGGUUCCAGGGGAAGUAUGGUUGCAAAGCUGAAACUUAAAGGAAUUGACGGAAGGGCACCACCAGGAGUGGAGCCUGUGGCUUAAUUUGACUCAACACGGGAAAUCUCACCAGGCCCGGACACUGGAAGGAUUGACAGAUUGAUAGCUCUUUCUUGAUUCGGUGGGUGGUGGUGCAUGGCCGUUCUUAGUUGGUGGAGUGAUUUGUCUGGUUAAUUCCGAUAACGAACGAGACUCUGUCCUGCUAAAUAGUUUCUACUUCUCUUUUGAGUAGAAAUUUCUUCUUAGAGGGACUGGUGACUCUUAGUCACACGAGAUUGAGCAAUAACAGGUCUGUGAUGCCCAAG